AAAAAAAAAACAAAUCUCCCCGCAGCCUUUUUGCCUUCUUAUCUCAUCGGCGCGUCGUCGAGCGACCCCCGCCGGAGUGCCGCCGGUCCUCAUCUAAAUCGAACGUCUACAGAUUGUUGUCGGCAGUUAUGGUGUUCUAUCAUCUGCAAAGGCUCAGUUCGUGCGGGAGGUUUUUUUUCUCAAUGUGCGGCGCCGACCAUGCGGGAGGUCGAGAGUCAAGGCGGAGGAUGGGAUCGAGAGACGCCGCGGCUCCACGCCGGCGUCGUCGCCACCGCCUCGCAAGUCGCAACGUCUCCUCUACUUCCGUUCUCAACUUCGAUUGGCAGUCGAUUUACAAGAAGAUCAUCUUCCAUGUCCCAUAGAUGAUAUCUAAUCCCAUGAUGGAUGCGGAUUGAUGAUUGAAGCAUUGGUGAAGGAGGCGUACUGAUGGCAGUUUGUAGCAAAUAAGGAGAACGCCGAUGUCUACAAUAUGGACCGAUAUGACGGACUGAUGGCAGAGCUAUUCACCUCAACACCGUUUGUGGUCAUCGCCUGUAUCCCCUGCACCCACUCAGCUGAACCCACCGUAUCUUUAUUUUUUUUGGUAUAUUCUCCAGCCCGUUGAACAGACCGCAUAAUCGCCAAUAAUUGGUUACAAGCUAGAUACUUUUUACUCAUGCAAUUAAUCUCUAAUCAUUUGUCCAAACAUUGAUGUUUUCCUACAGAACAUUGUCAGCCCAGAUUUCUUGCCAGUGCAAUGCAUAUUUGGCUGUACUAAUAUUUAGUUCUUCCAUCAAUUUUGUCACUCCAACGGAAAAAUGGACCUGAUUCUCAUUGAGUGCAGUCAUGGACUGUUGAUAUAACUGACAUUUUAUAACAACUACACGGAUGGUAUUUGUGGUCUUGCCUACAGAUUUCAAAGUGUUUCAAUUUCGGCCUGUGUAGAUUAGUAUAUUUUGAGUUAUGCUUUCUUCAGUUUCCGCGAUGUGCGCAUUAAUUAACUUAAAGUCUUUAUGGAUUAUUAUUCUUUAUAUGCGUGAAGUAUGCACGGCCAAUUUCCUGUUACAAAAAACCAUUUGUCAGAAGAAUCGAAGGGUAAUCUAUGACAAGCAAACCAUCACACAAAUCUUUAAUUAACAGCAAAAUGUUACAGAGCACUGUUUUUUAUGCUGAAGUAUGUACAAUUAAUUUUCUAUUAUAGAAAAAUAAGUUGUCAGUAACUGAACAAGAGGGAAAUAUAUGAUAACCGAACCAGCACACAAGUCAUAGAAAUUAUAAGCUACUUUUAUAAGUUCAUCCCACUGAACUCCGCGUGUAAUUAAAUUUGUAUUUUUCUCCUCAAAUCUUGGAUUCUAAGUGACGCCGCUCUUUUCUUGCAUCGCAUUUCUGUAUGAUUGGCCACGAGCUACACAAAUACUGUAUAGCACAUUGAUUUGUGUUGAUAUAAGAAGGCGAAAUGUUAUAAAGUUUUUCCAUGCUUAUUAUAAAUCUCUUCACAGUAGUGAUAUGCAGUUUGUGAUUUUUUUUGUUUAACUUCAGCAACAUAGAUGCGAUUCUUAAAAAAAUGGUGCUGACACUCGGAAGCUCUUCAUAGCGCAGUACAGCUGCCCUCUCCACGGCACAUCACCCUGGGUCUAGAUGAGUAGAUGUGCAAACUUCAGCUUCAAAACUAGCAGAUUUUUGCAUGCUUACAAAGAACAAUGUCUCAUGCAACUUAUAUGCAAAACUGUUGCAUCAUCACAAGAUUCCCAUGAUAUACAUAUGGGCACAACUAUUUUAGUAUAAAUCCCUGUCUUAUUAUGUAUCCAUUGGUUCAGAUUUUAGAUGAUAAAUCUAUUAUAGGCUCAGUAUAUACGUAUAAGAAUCCAGACUGUAUAGACUAUCCAAUGCCAAAGAGACUUCUAUUUCAGUUAUUUUAUUUGAUACAUUAAACCUUUGGUUUGAGCUUCUGUACAUUGUAAAGAUAAAUAUAUGUUAGUUUAGCAAACAUGCAAAAUUAAUUAGGUAUAUUGUGAUUCUUUCCAAAGAUAAACGCUGCCAGAAAACAAGCUACUACCAAGGCAAUAUAUUUUACUAUAUCUUUAAAAACCACACUAUUUUCCACCAAUGGGCAAUCGGGCUCUCUGUCAUAUAUUUAGUUUUACACCAUAUGCUUAGCUUCCCAAUAUACAGAACUGUUAUAUUUUAGUUCAUUGUGCCAUAUUGUUAGCUAGAGACACUAAAAUCUAUCAUGGAGCAGAUCAUAUUAACAGUAGAUAAUUUUGUAGUUGUAAUUGGGUGGUGAUUACUCACAGGAUUGUUCUGACCAAUAAUGAGAUGCUAAUUCAUCCUAUAGUUCUGUUGCUACUACUUCUUCUACAAGAUCAGGUGAACAUUACUGGACCAUUUUAGGCCAGCGUGAACAAGGUAACACGUGCCCUACCAUAUUGUUGUUUGUGCAUGAUUCCAUUAAGCUUUACAAUAUGUUUGGCAUGUAAUUCACAUCACAUUUUGUGUUAUGUGCCGGAAGAUAUUAUAGCCGGAUGAUGAAACCACGGUGUUUCUUGAUUUGACUUCUUUUGAUUCUUGAAUUGUACACAUAUGAUUUUGGAAAAAGAUGUGUACGGAAAGAGAAAAUCACAGAGAGAGAUAACAUUUCCCCCACUUCAGACUUGCAUUAAACAUUUCUUGAUCAAUGUUUGUAUUGAAAGCCUCUGACAUAUUCGUUUCAUGUCUAGCGGGAGUGCAUCCGACGAUGCAUUACGCAUGAUAUUGUGAGUAAGUAAGAAAGUUAGUGCAUUUGCGCAAGCUGGGUUCAACAUUGCGCGUCAUAUCACUUUAGAGUUAAUUUUGUUUAACUAUCUGUGUUAAUUCCACCACAAUAGUUGUGUUUCAAUAAAAGGGUUGUGUUUUAUAACAAUAAAUAAUCAUGACAGUAAUUCUGCCGGACUAAUUGCUUCUCUUAUGUUUCGAACAUCCAAGAUUGAAAUCUGCUACACAUGGUAUAUCUUCAGGUUAUUUAUCAUUCGUCAUUCGGUGACCAAUUUAUGAUUUUGUUGUAGUAGUUAACAAGACCUAUGGUGGGCUUAGUAGGCCGAUUAUUGAUUGCUAAAAGUUGGUAUCCAUUUUGACAACACAUAAAUCACAGCAAAUUAAAUUUACACAUGUGAUUAAUUUUGUCGCCAGGUGGUUAUCAACGAAGAAGAUCCUAUAGCAGCUGCUAUUGGAGAAUUCAGGGAAUGAACUAGAUUUCUGUGAUGAUCGUAGUUGAGGUCAAUUUACAUGCUUUAUUUGCAUCACCAUUUCCCAUGUCCAUAAUUGAUUUUCAAGCGUCACAGAAAUAUCAUUGUUGUAUUAUCCUGGAGAGUAAAAUCUGAAUGCCUUCUCCUUAUUUGUAAAUAGGAUAACAAUUUCUCCACUUAUGUUUCUUCCUUUAUAGACAUGAAGGUUGAUUGUUUAAUUUUGUCCCUGCUAAAUGGAUCCAACAAAUUGUUGUUCUAAAUGUUACUCCAGUGUUUUGUAGUACAAAAGAUGACUGGAGCUAAUACAGUAUAUGUUCGAAGUGUUA